GGUCAAGGAGACAACAUGAUGGUCCUCAAGGUCCUGUUAGCAGCUCUCCUCUGCAUUUCCCAAGUCGCGGCCACGUGUCCCGAGAGCGAGCAGAUCCACUGCGGAACCAGCGAUCGCUGCACGAGGAUCCGCUACAUCUGCGACGGAGACAACGACUGCGGCGACUAUUCCGACGAGGAGAGCGCCAUCUGCGGGGCUUGGCGCAAUGAGUACUGCGAGCGAGGCUCG